GCCGAAAUAGCUCAACCGGGAGAGCAUUAAACUGGAAAUCUAAAAAACCCUGGUUCAAUCCUACGUUUCGGAA
rnacentral:tRNA from 1 species